UUGUGGCGAAGUUAACGCGAUAAGUCGACCGCCUGGGGAGUACGGCCGCAAGGUUAAAACUCAAAUGAAUUGACGGGGGCCCGCACAAGCGGUGGAGCAUGUGGUUUAAUUCGAUGCAACGCGAAGAACCUUACCUACUCUUGACAUCCUGCGAACUUGUGAGAGAUCACUUGGUGCCUUCGGGAGCGCAGAGACAGGUGCUGCAUGGCUGUCGUCAGCUCGUGUUGUGAAAUGUCGGGUUAAGUCCCGUAACGAGCGCAACCCUUGUCCUUAUUUGCCAGCGGGUAAUGCCGGGAACUCUAAGGAGACUGCCGGUGACAAACCGGAGGAAGGUGGGGACGACGUCAAGUCAUCAUGGCCCUUACGAGUAGGGCUACACACGUGCUACAAUGGCCGGUACAAAGGGUUGCGAGCUCGCGAGAGUCAGCUAAUCCCGAAAAGCCGGUCUCAGUCCGGAUCGGAGUCUGCAACUCGACUCCGUGAAGUCGGAAUCGCUAGUAAUCGUGAAUCAGAAUGUCACGGUGAAUACGUUCCCGGGCCUUGCACACACCGCCCGU
rnacentral:rRNA from 1 species